AUGCUCACUUUGGCAGCACAUAUACUAAAACUGGAAUGAUACAGAGAAGAUUAGCAUGGCUCCUGCAUAAGGAUGACAUGCAAAUUCAUGAAGUAUUCCAUAUUUUU
ensembl:snRNA U6 U6 spliceosomal RNA